rnacentral:rRNA from 1 species
AGGAGUGCUUUUACAGAGGGGGAUCCACCCGUUCCCAUGCCGAAUACGGAAGUUAAGCCCCUCGUGGUCGAUGGUACUGCACUGGCAACGGUGUGGGAGAGUAGAACGGCGCUCCGC